CAGCUUUUAUCAAACUAAUAACAGUCGUUAUCGGUCUCCAACAAACCAAGCUUCUUCAGUCCACAAACGGUUCAAUUCAAAUAUUUCAGACGCUGUUUUCCAGUGAUAUGUUCUGGGUUUAAUGGGCAACAGUUGCACCUGUUGAUGAUUUGAAAAUGGACAAAGAAUUAAUUCCAGGCCUUCAAACCUUCCCAGCUUUGAAGCUGUGCGGGAAAUGGCUGCACCCACGGGACAGAAGGUUUCGGGCUGGGGCCGUUCUCAUGGACCUCCACCUGCACAACCGUGAGCUGGGUGAACUGCGCCGGCCUCCAUCUGCUCAACAGUCGGCCGCUGGAAGGCUGCGCGUUUGGCCCGUCUUCCCCGACUGAAGAUCCGCCAGACCGCACUGUCUCCAGACCAAUCAGAUGCUUGGAUGCGAAGCUCAUCCCACAGGAGGAAAUGCUUCUGACAACUGCAGAGCCCGGAGGAAGAAACAGGAAACCGCGUGGCUGCACAGAAGCCGAGCGCAGCUGAUGCCUCUCUGUUCAGGAGCAAUAAUGGGACCAGUGGCAAGACACGACUUGUGAAUGUGCAGAGGUGGAGGCGAAUGACGACCGUGAGGCCGGAGCGUGGAUCGACCAUCACACGUCACACUGUGCUCUGAGACUGGGAAGAAUUACUUAUUAAUAACGGUGGGGGAGGUUUUCAUGUUUGGCUCCGUGGAAACUGACAUGGAUUAAUAAAAUGCUCCUAAUAAAAAGGGGUGAGGCUUUAGGUCGACAUUUCUGUCUGUCCUGCAGUUUGUGGUGGAGUCAGAACUGCAGUCAGUUUCUUCAUAUAAGUUUUGUGAUAGUAAAAUAAUCUAUUUGUUGCCUUAUAGUGAAACUGUAGUGUGUGUGUGUGUGUGUGUGUGUGUGUGUGUGCGCGUGCGUGUGAUGAGUCUCCACUGUUUUAUUCUUCAAUCUGUCAUUCAAUCUCUGCUAAUACACGGUUUCAUCCGUUUCCAAAGUACGAUCGUCAAUUUGUUUUCACGCCGAGCGGUUUUGUGAGACACGUGUCGGCUAAUCCCCGUCUCGUAAGCAGUAGCUGCCUCCUCACCUUAUAUGUACAUGCAUCUCAGAAACCUCCAAACAGGAUCAGAGCGUGUUGGUGGUUCUUGUUGCAGCCUCUCGGUGACUUUUAAUGCUCGAUUUAACUCUUACAUCAUUAGCUGGAGCCAGACAGAGUUUAAAAGUUGAAAUUGAGCAAUCUCGACAUGCACCGUAUUUCAUUAAUGUGACAAGUUGACAAAGCGCCAGCGGGCAUGUGCUCGGCUGACGAGCGCCACUCGUUACAUUCCAGCUGCAUCAAUUAACCGCGCCUGCAUCGCGGCGUGUGACACGCGAAGGGCCGCGGACGCUCCCCGAGCGCAGCCUCCAGUCGGGAAACGAACGCCCGGCCGACACGGCCCGACACGCUGCUUUGGACCGGGUUCAAUGGGAAAAAAACACGGGAAGUGAAGCAAAAUCAUCAUUUACAGCCUGACAGCUGCAGCGAGGCUUAAACCACAGACAAGUUGGGCAACGGUCACGUCCUCGGCGCUGAGCUCCCACCGACGACACAGGACGAGCAGCGGAGCCCGACGGUCGCUGAGCACCAGGCGUAAAAACACGUCGCAUCUGAGCGGGACGUUAUUGUGCACAGACAUGAAAAUGGCUCCGAGCCACAAACACUCACUGACACUGGGAAAGACUCAAGCUUGGUGUGACUGAGCAUAAUCAGCUGAAAUGCCUCCAUUUCCUCCCACUUCUCUGAAUCCGGGCCACGAUAGGACCGGUUUCGCAGGUGGACCCAGA